UACGUAGGGUGCAAGCGUUUGUCCGGAAUUAUUGGGCGUAAAGAGCUCGUAGGCGGUUUGUCGCGUCUGCUGUGAAAAUCCAGGGCUUAACCCUGGACCUGCAGUGGGUACGGGCAGACUAGAGUGCGGUAGGGGAGAUCGGAAUUCCUGGUGUAGCGGUGAAAUGCGCAGAUAUCAGGAGGAACACCGGUGGCGAAGGCGGAUCUCUGGGCCGUAACUGACGCUGAGGAGCGAAAGCCAGGGUAGCGAAUGGG
rnacentral:rRNA from 1 species